rnacentral:rRNA from 1 species
AUUGAACGCUGGCGGAAUGCUUUACACAUGCAAGUCGAACGGCAGCACGGACUUCGGUCUGGUGGCGAGUGGCGAACGGGUGAGUAAUACAUCGGAACGUGCCCAGUCGUGGGGGAUAACGUAGCGAAAGCUACGCUAAUACCGUAUACGAUCUAAGGAUGAAAGCGGGGAUCGCAAGACCUCGCGCGAUUGGAGCGGCCGAUGGCAGAUUAGGUAGUUGGUAGGGUAAAGGCCAACAAAGCCGACGAUCUGUAGCUGGGCUGAGAGGGUGAUCAGCCACACUGGGACUGAGACACUGCGCAGACUCCGACGGGAGGCGGCAGUGGGGAAGUUUGGUGUAUGGGCGCAAGCGUGAUCCAGCCAUUCCGCGUGCAGGAUGGAGGCCUUCGGGUUGUAAUCUGCUUUUGUACAGAACGAAAAGGCUCUGGUUAAUACCCGGGGAUCAUGACGGUACUGUAAGAAUAAGCACCGGCUAACUACGUGCCAGCAGCCGCAGUAA